rnacentral:rRNA from 1 species
GUGACGAGUGGCGGACGGGUGAGUAAUGUCUGGGAAACUGCCUGAUGGAGGGGGAUAACUACUGGAAACGGUAGCUAAUACCGCAUAACGUCGCAAGACCAAAGAGGGGGACCUUCGGGCCUCUUGCCAUCAGAUGUGCCCAGAUGGGAUUAGCUAGUAGGUGGGGUAACGGCUCACCUAGGCGACGAUCCCUAGCUGGUCUGAGAGGAUGACCAGCCACACUGGAACUGAGACACGGUCCAGACUCCUACGGGAGGCAGCAGUGGGGAAUAUUGCACAAUGGGCGCAAGCCUGAUGCAGCCAUGCCGCGUGUAUGAAGAAGGCCUUCGGGUUGUAAAGUACUUUCAGCGGGGAGGAAGGCGUUGUGGUUAAUAACCACAGCGAUUGACGUUACCCGCAGAAGAAGCACCGGCUAACUCCGUGCCAGCAGCCGCGGUAAUACGGAGGGUGCAAGCGUUAAUCGGAAUUACUGGGCGUAAAGCGCACGCAGGCGGUCUGUCAAGUCGGAUGUGAAAUCCCCGGGCUCAACCUGGGAACUGCAUUCGAAACUGGCAGGCUAGAGUCUUGUAGAGGGGGGUAGAAUUCCAGGUGUAGCGGUGAAAUGCGUAGAGAUCUGGAGGAAUACCGGUGGCGAAGGCGGCCCCCUGGACAAAGACUGACGCUCAGGUGCGAAAGCGUGGGGAGCAAACAGGAUUAGAUACCCUGGUAGUCCACGCCGUAAACGAUGUCGACUUGGGAGGUUGUGCCCUUGAGGCGUGGCUUCCGGAGCUAACGCGUUAAGUCGACCGCCUGGGGGAGUACGGCCGCAAGGUUAAAACUCAAAUGAAAUUGACGGGGGCCCGCACAAGCGGUGGAACCAGGUGGUUUAAUUCGAUGCAACGCGAAGAACCUUACCUACUCUUGACAUCCAGAGAACUUUCCAGAAGAUGCAUUGGUGCCUUCGGGAACUCUGAGACAGGUGCUUGCAUGGCUGUCGUCAGCUCGUGUUGUGAAAUGGUUGGGUUAAGUCCCGCAACGAGCGCAAC